rnacentral:rRNA from 1 species
CUGGAGGUAUCAGAAGUGCGAAUGCUGACAUAAGUAACGAUAAAGCGGGUGAAAAGCCCGCUCGCCGGAAGACCAAGGGUUCCUGUCCAACGUUAAUCGGGGCAGGGUGAGUCGACCCCUAAGGCGAGGCCGAAAGGCGUAGUCGAUGGGAAACGGGUUAAUAUUCCCGUACUUGGUGUUACUGCGAAGGGGGGACGGAGAAGGCUAUGUUGGCCGGGCGACGGUUGUCCCGGUUUAAGCGUGUAGGUGUGUGUUCCAGGUAAAUCCGGUUCACUUUAACACUGAGGCGUGACGACGAGGCACUACGGUGCUGAAGCAACAAAUGCCCUGCUUCCAGGAAAAGCCUCUAAGCAUCAGGUAACAUCAAAUCGUACCCCAAACCGACACAGGUGGUCAGGUAGAGAAUACCAAGGCGCUUGAGAGAACUCGGGUGAAGGAACUAGGCAAAAUGGUGCCGUAACUUCGGGAGAAGGCACGCUGACACGUAGGUGAAGUGAUUUACUCAUGGAGCUGAAGUCAGUCGAAGAUACCAGCUGGCUGCAACUGUUUAUUAAAAACACAGCACUGUGCAAACACGAAAGUGGACGUAUACGGUGUGACGCCUGCCCGGUGCCGGAAGGUUAAUUGAUGGGGUCAGCGCAAGCGAAGCUCCUGAUCGAAGCCCCGGUAAACGGCGGCCGUAACUAUAACGGUCCUAAGGUAGCGAAAUUCCUUGUCGGGUAAGUUCCGACCUGCACGAAUGGCGUAAUGAUGGCCAGGCUGUCUCCACCCGAGACUCAGUGAAAUUGAACUCGCUGUGAAGAUGCAGUGUACCCGCGGCAAGACGGAAAGACCCCGUGAACCUUUACUAUAGCUUGACACUGAACAUUGAGCCUUGAUGUGUAGGAUAGGUGGGAGGCUUUGAAGUGUGGACGCCAGUCUGC